AAUUGCUGCAAAAGGAGGUGUUGAUUAAAUAGGUGCUAUACGUGAAUGUAUGUAACACAGGAUUGGUUUCUUACCUUUUCUCCACCGCAACAUAACAUGGUGUGAACCUCAGGAUCACAAAAUUAAAGUCAUAAAGCUUCCCCAUCAACCCUUUGGAGACGGAUCCCGGAUCAGGAAUAUACUUGGACCUUUUUUAUAUAGAAAAAGUGUAUGAAUUAAGAAAAGGAACGCGGGUCUUGUCCAAGAAGUAAGAUGCGCUCCACCACACUUUGGCACUGAUGAAAUCAUCAAAGCAUAUAAUUGACCUCAAUAUUUAUCACUGGGACGCAACCACUCAAUCACACAAAUAGCACUUCUUUUUUUUUUGCAAAUAGUGGUUGUAUUAAUUUUAGCGAUUCUGGACGUCCACCAUGAUUGCUGCUGCGACUGCUGCCAUUAUUUUUUUAUAAUAAAAAAGGGAAAAAAGGGAUCCAACCACCGGCCCAGAAGGAAGUUUCAUCUCCAUUGAAAGGCACAGAGAAAUCAAUAUAUACAUAAAAAAAAUUACCAUGGCUUUCUAAAGGAAAAGAAAAGAAUACAACGAACAUAAAUACCUUUCUUGAAGCAACAGCCAAAUCCCUUUAUUUCUUAUAAAUAUAUAUAUAGUAAUAGGUAUUAUUGAUGUAUUAUGCAAUUUUAGAGCCUGAUUGCUUUUUAUGGACGGUAAUCGUCUGCUCAUAUAUUCAUGUUAGGAAUGAGUUAUGAGUACAUUAUUUCAACCAGUAUUCAUCAAUUGUCCCCUCAAAAUCCCUUUCAUUUGCUCUCUCUUUCUGUCUAUCUCUCUUUCUGUCUAUCAUUAACUUUUGAUUUACUAUUUUAUAUUUUCUCUUUGACUAUCAUUUUUUUUGUAACCCCCCUUAAUUAAUUAUUAUCCUUGAAUCCCUUGGCCAUAUUUAGCUCGCCUUUAACAGUUCAACUCAAUAUUAUUUACAAUAUAUCCUUACACUAUAUGCUCAUAAAGAAUACAUUAUCAUGCAUUAUAUAUCC
rnacentral:lncRNA from 1 species